CUAGGCGCGACUGAGAGCACG
rnacentral:misc_RNA from 1 species